GACAGAGGUGCCAAGCGUUAGGCGGAAUCACUGGGCUUAAAGCGUGUGUAGGCGGAUCGUUAAGUGUCUUGUGAAAUCCCACGGCUCAACCGUGGAACUGCUCGACAUACUGGCGAUCUUGAGCAACCUAGGGGCGAGCGGAACAAAUGGUGGAGCGGUGAAAUGCGUAGAUAUCGUUUGGAACGCCAAUGGUGAAAACAGACAGCUGGGAGUGUGCUGACGCUGAGACACGAAAGCCAGGGGAGCGAACGGG
rnacentral:rRNA from 1 species